GACAGAGGGGGCAAGCGUUGCUCGGAAUCACUGGGCGUAAAGGGCGCGUAGGCGGGAUGGCAAGUCGGUCGUGAAAUCCUUCGGCUCAACCGAAGAACGUCGGCCGAUACUGCCGUUCUUGAGGGAUGCAGAGGAGAUUGGAAUUCCCGGUGUAGCGGUGAAAUGUGUAGAGAUCGGGAGGAACACCGGUGGCGAAGGCGGGUCUCUGGGCAUCUCCUGACGCUGAGGCGCGAAAGCCAGGGGAGCGAACGGG
rnacentral:rRNA from 1 species